rnacentral:rRNA from 1 species
UUUGAGGUUUUGAUCCUGGCUCCAGGCACGAACGCCAUGGCGGCGUGCUAAUACUUGCAAGUGCGAUGGCAAUUGUGCUUGCACAAUUUGAGAGCAGCGAUUUUUACGCGGAGUAACGCGUGGGAAUUGCUUUGAGCGGGAGCAACAUUUGGAAACGAUGUAAUACCGCGCUAACAACUUUAACUCGGAGUUUUAAGUUGAAGAUGCAAAUUGCAGCCUCAAAGUUGUCCGCGUUGUAUUAGCUAGUUGUGAGGUAAGGCUCACCAAGCGAUGCUCACUUGCCGACCUGCGAGGGUAUCGGCCAAUUGGGACUGAGACACGGCCCAAAACUCCUCGGGAGGCAGCAGUAGGAAUCUCUCGGCGGACGAAAGUCUGACGAGCAACGCCGCUGUGAGAAGAAGGUUCGGAUCGUAAACGUGUUGGUAGAGAAGAACGUUGGUGAGAGUGGAAAGUCAUCAAUGACGGUACUACCGGAAAGGCGGCAAUACGUGCCGGCAGCCGCGGUAAUACGUAGUCCCGCAGCGUGUCCGGAUUUAUUGGGCGUAAGCGAGCCGCGGUGGUUUAUUAGUACUGGCGUAAAAGUCAGUGGCUAACCAUUUAUGCAUUGGAAACUGGUAGACUUGAGUGCACGGAGAGUGAGUGAAUUCCAUGGUGUAGCACGUUGAGAUGCGUAGGUGAUAUAUGGAGGAAAAGCGUGGCGGAACGCGCUCUCUGGCCUGUAACUGACACUGCAGGCUCGAAGCGUGGGAGCAACGUAUUAGAUACCCUGGUGCCACGCCGAAACGAUGAGUGCUAGAUGUAGGAGCUAUAAUUCUCUGUAUCGCAGCCUAACGCAAAAGCAUCCGCCUGGGAGUACGACCGCAAGGUGAAAACUCAAAGGACUUGACGGGGCCCGCACAAGCGGUGGAGCCUUGGUUUUAAUUCGAGCCACGCGGAAAGAACCUUACCAGUUUACAUACUCUGCUUUCCUAGAGAUAGCGGAAGUUCCUUCGGGGACACGGGAUACAGGUGGUUGCAAUGGUAGUCGUCAGCUCGUGUCGUGAGAUGUUGGGUCUAAGUCCGAACGCGCGCACCCUUUGUUAUUGCCUCAUUAAGUUGCCGCACUCUAACGAGACACUUGCCGGUGAUAACCGGACAGGAAGUGGGGCAUGACGAUCAAAUCAUUCCAGUGCCCGCUUAUGACGUCUGGGCUUACACACGUGUACCAAUGGAUGUCAACGUACAGCCCAGGAUGCGACGAGCCGACAU